UUCCUUAGUUCUACCCAAAAGCGCCAGCUUGUUUGAAGGCGCCCAAAACCCCCAGACUUCCGAUGACAAAGGAUAAAAUUCUUAUUUUUCCAUUGCUUCAAUGAAAAAGGUAUCCAAUUGAACAUGGUUAAGUGUUUUUGCCCACUAAAGUACCAAAAUUCUUCAUUUUUGUGGGUAUCUAGCUGGUACAGUUGGAAGAAGAGGGUUACGCCCGAUUAAAUGUUGUUAUUAAGGCAAAUGAACCAAAAGGCCAUCAAGAUUCUUUAACUAUUGGGGUGCAACUGGACAAUCGAAAGCUUAUGGACUUAGCCUUCCUUAAUUCCACCCAAAAGCGCUAGCUUGUUUGAAGGCGCCCAAAACCCCCAGAUUUCCGAUGACAAAGGAUAAAAUACUUAUUUUUCCACUGCUUCAAUGAAAAAGGUAUCCAGUCGAACAUGGUUAACAUGAACAUUACACAAUACUUUACAUUACAUUACAUUCCAUUGUCUUUCAUGUCCACAACUAAUCUAUUACAUAUAUAAACUUCUAAUCCUGGUGACUUCCUAGUCUAGCCUGCACCUGCAAACCUGGGGGUUAAGGGAAAAGGGUGAACUACUAGAGUCCAGUGAGCAGAAUAGUAAAACAUUAUAUUAAAAUUCAUGCUUUCAUGAAAUGCAUCACAUCACAAACAAAUCACCUUAAGGAUGAACUUGUCACCAAUAGCCCUCUACAUAUCCAAUAGUGUCAGGACGUAGAAUGGG
rnacentral:lncRNA from 1 species